CCUUGGACAGAGGAGUGUGGUGGGCUACAGUCCAUAGGGUCAAAAAUAAUCAGACGUGACUGAGCAUGCAUGCACAUUGAUUCAAUAAUUGACCAUCUGGGCUACUCAGUUUUUUUUUUUUUUUUCCUUGUCAUGCUUGAAAAAUCAAAGUUUAAAAUUCACUAACUGUGAACCCACCAUCAAUCCCAAUCCCAAAUUUUCUCUCUCUUUCUCCAUGACCUUGCUAUGUGGCCUCAGAUGUGCUCUGUAAUACUCAGGUUUAUAAGUAAUAGAACUGCACUUAAAGAAAAAAAAGUUUCCUGAUGGUUAUUGAUGGAGGGCAUCUUACAACGAUAGUAAGAACUACCCAGCUGGUCCAAUCACAUCACUGAUUACUGAUAGGCUGAGACCAGCACAAAACAAUUAGCAUAGUUGACAGGAUUGCAUGAUUGCCCUUCAGUUAACUGAGGAGAAUGCCCUUUACCUGUAACCUGCUUACUAACCACCUAACCCAGGCAGGUAACUCCAUCUGGGAGAAGAGCGCUGCUUACUGGGUGUCUGCUGUGCUCCUCUGUGCUUUUACAUGUUCUCUCUGUCAUGUGUUGCCUGUGGAAUCCAAUCUGCAAAAGUCACACCUGCCACAGUAAUCUAAUGAUCACCCCAGAUCCGCAUGAUCAAGACCAUAUGGUCUGAAACUCCUCGAUUGACUAUUAAUGUGGAUAAGUGUCCUCUGCCCCUCAGGGACAGGGAGCAGAGGAGGGUGGGUUGGAUUGCAAAGCUAUUGUCACUGCCCAUGGAGAGGAUCUGGGCAAAAGGCAUGAGGAGAAGAUUCUCAUAGGCAUGCAUGCUAAGUCACUUCAGCCGUGUCUGACUCUUCGGACUGUAUCCCACCAGGCUCCUCUGUCCAUGGGAUUCUCUAGGCUCUAGUGAGGUGGACGAACCAUUCCAGUUUCAUUAUGUGGAAAGCUCAUGGACAGGAGAGUCUGGAGGGCUCCAGUCCGUGGAGUCACAAAGAGAUGGACACAACGGAGCGGCUGAGUAUGCACACACAUACCAUCAAAAGCAAUGUGUGGGCUAUUUAAAUCUUGAUUGUCAUAAACCAACUGUAUAAGAAAAUUAUGAUUAGGGGAAUGUGGAGAGCAUUGGGUACUUAAUUACAUCAUCAAGAAAUGUCAUUAAGGAAUUAUCUUUUGAUGUGAUAAUAUUACUGUGGUAUGUAAAAGAGACGUCUUUAUCUUUUA